rnacentral:rRNA from 1 species
AUCGAACGCUGGCGGCAGGCUUAACACAUGCAAGUCGAACGAGUGGCGGACGGGUGUGUAAUGCUUGGGAACCUAGCUCAUGGAGGGGGAUAACUUCGGGAAACUGUAGCUAUUACCGCUUACCAUAGGAUGAGCCCAAGUGGGCCUAGGUAGUUGGUGAGGUAAAGGUUCACCAAGCUGACGAUCGCUAGCUGGUCUGAGAGGAUGACCAGCCGAACUGGGACUGAGGGACGGCCCAGACGCCUACGGGAGGAAGCGGUGGGGAAUAUUGCGCGAUGGGGGAAGCCCUGACGGAGCCAUGCCGCGUGAAUGAGGAGGGCCUUAGGGUUGUAGAGUACUUACAGCGUGGAGGCGUUACCCGGAGAAGAAGCGCCGGCUAACUACGUGCCAGCAGCCGCGGUAAUUC